CCUUUGAUCAAUGGACCACAAAGAGUUAUCCAUCAUUUAUUUGGCAUGGAUGAUUGAGUGCAAAUUUGUUCUUAGUUUUAAAGCCUUUCUUUCUCAUCUUGAAUUUAAAGUUUUUAUAUACCUCAUUGUCCUCGUAUGGAUGUACUCUUCAUAAUUGUUUCUCUCUUUAUUUGUUCAUAUAUCAAAUAUAUUCUUCCCUGCAGUCCCGAUUUCUGCCAUAUACCCCGUAGUGGUUAACAUGGAGAAAGCACAUUUACUACGUGCUCAACAAGAAAUUCCAAUAUCGGAAUAUGGGGCAAGUGUUAUAAUUUCACUGAUGUGGGACUACUUUCUCAAUGCUCUCCAUACAAGAUUAGGCAAAGCUGAAUUCUGUUGUGGACCUUCUGUGGUCAUGGCAUUCAGAACGGGUGGGAAAAGUGGGGAAAGCUUUGUGGAGAUUGCUUUCAUAUAGGAGAUGUUUUCAGAAUAGGAUGUGGUCAUUAGGGAAAUUAAAUGUAUUUUUUUGAGUUGGGCUUCUUAUGUAAAGCCAGUUAAUCCCGCUAAUCUCUCAUAUGUUUUUCAAUUGUAUAGGUGGGUUGUUUU